rnacentral:lncRNA from 10 species
AAGGCUGCCUACAUCUUGCAGAUUGGAAAGAACAAGUCACAGUGCCCUCCAGUAAGGCAAGGGCUUAUUUGCAAAGAUUUUGUCUGAGAACUGGAAGAAUCUGCACAGAAGGAUCCUACGUAUGGCUGCUCAUCCCAGGAUCCAAAGAGCAUUAAUAGCUGGAGGAAAGGCCAUGUGAGGACAAACUGGUUGUCUGCAAGCCAAGAAGAAAGCCUCCACCAGAAACCAAACCUUGUCAGACCUUGAUCUUGGACUUCCCCGCAUCU